AAAAACCUCCCCCGCGCGACGCCGCUCGGCCGGCGGCUGUUGCUAAGGGAGGGGCGGCGCGGGCGAGGGCAGCGCCCCCCUGAGCGCCGUGGGUGCGCCCCACACCAGCCGGACUUGUCGCCUUUCCCCGCUUCUCUCGUUCCGCGCGCCUCACCCGAUCCUUUUUGCCUGCAUCGCCUUCCGCCAUCCCCUUCCCCCUCACAAACCUCCUCCCCAAGCCGCCCCUCCCUUCACACUUCUCCCUCAUGGCGCCCGACCAAUCAGCGACGCCUCCUUUGCGCGCCUCAUCUCUCAUUGGCUGAGACUAUCAUUAAAAUGCAGCAGCUCGGGGAGAGAGGCGUGGUUUAGUCAAUCUCUGCCUUCUGAUUGGCUGGAGGUGCGGCCUCACGGCCUAUAGAAUGCGGCUCCCGGGAAGGGGCGGAGCUAAGGCCGCUGAGGCGAAAGAAAAAGGCGGGAAGGCGCCGGAGCCCCUGAGGGGAUUUUGGCGCUUUUUCCUUUUUGGCAGCAGAAAAUCCACUCAGCACCUUCAAUCGUACUAAAAUAUAGCGGAAAAGAAAAGAUUAAACUUCAAAGAGCCCUUUAAUCCUGCAGUAUGGGUGAGGCAGAGAGCUCCCCUCCAAACCGGGCAAAAUCCUCCCCUCACGUUCUAGAUCCUCCAAAUCGGGCAGUUUUACCCAAAAAUUGAUUUUCUGGUUGUUUUCUCCUCCCCAAGAAGACACUGUUAGGCAGGCGUCCCUCUCCAGGGUCUCUGACAAGGACCUGCUGGCCAUGGCACUGAUGGCUGCCCAUGAGAGAUGCAACCCCCUGCCCUGUCAGUCCUUAAUUAGAGCCUUAACGAAGCCCUGCCUUAAUUAGGGCCCUAACACCCUCCCAGCCAAGUAGGGGUCCUAAUGAUUAGGACCCCUGGUAAUUAAGUGGGGGUCCCUAAUGAAGCCCCUCUAAUAAAGCAGGGGGUUCUCUGGA